AAACACCUACUAAAAGCCCAAAAUAACCAAUGGAAUGGAUACUCAGAACUCCACAGCUGCAAACUACAAUAAGUUUAUUAAUACUUUGAAUGGAAAAAAUUAAUGUGCCUGAAAUAGAAUUCAAAAGGACAUAUGUCAAUAACAGUAGACCUCAACUUUGAACAAACGUACAGAAAUAAGAUGUUAAAAGCUGUAUAAAAUGUCAAAUGGACGAUGGGUUCAAAGGCUGACGCAAUCAAAUGCAAAUAGUAGUAAAUCUAUAGCUGAAAACAAGUAGGGUCAAUUUGGUCAAAAUGGAAAAACAAAUAGCAAGUUGUCAGCUACCUACAAAAACAAACCUCACCCCAACAAUCAAACCACUGAUCCAAAGCAAUUCCACAAAAAGAAGAACACAAAAUGUAGAGUAAACACUAAGAACAAAGGAACAGAUUACUUGUACGGCACACAUUCACCACCAAAAAUAACAUAAAUUAUUCAGAUGGGAAAAAGUCUAUAAAUCAGAUGAAGCAUUAUCUUUAAUCUUACUUCCAAGCAACGGUUCCAAGUAGAAACGCAAUCUAUAACCAUAUAAUAAUAAGCACAAUCAAAAAUCAAUUUAGGUAUAACUAAACUCAAAAGAGAGAUUAAACGGACCAGAAACAACGAUCGAUGAAUCUGAUGAAAGCACAAGUUUUCUGUGAUCAUCGUGUUCUGCACAAACAAUGUAGAAUCAAAAUCCUCUUCGAUCAUUUUAUAAGAAUAUCGUACUAAUUGAUCUGUUACUAAAAAGAAAUUAGGAAAAAUGAAAAAUGAAAAUUAACAAGUGUUUCUCCUUUUGCGCCUCUUGGGAAAUCAUGGUGGUUGUUGGUGUUGUGUUUGCGGUGCCCAUCCUCUUCUUCUCGUCUCUUCUACCUGCCAACAGUUUUUAUCUAAAUUUUUCAUUUUUAUUUUAUAAAUAUUUUCUUUAGUUUUUGAACCCCAAGGACCCGCGUCAUCGCAAUCUUGAAA
rnacentral:lncRNA from 1 species